GCCCUUAUAGCUCAGUGGUAGAGCGCGACACUUGUAUUAGUAGUAGUUCCCUGCUACAAUCUUACGAGAUUAUGUCGAGGUCCAUCGUUCAAUCCGGUGUGGGGGCA